rnacentral:rRNA from 1 species
GGCUCAGGAUGAACGCUAGCUACAGGCUUAACACAUGCAAGUCGAGGGGCAGCAUGUUGGUUGCUUGCAACCAAUGAUGGCGACCGGCGCACGGGUGAGUAACGCGUAUCCAACCUUCCCCUUAGUAGAGGAUAGCCCGGCGAAAGUCGGAUUAAUACUCUAUGUUCUUCAAUGCGGACAUCUAAGUUGAAGCAAAGAUUUAUCGCUAAGGGAUGGGGAUGCGUCUGAUUAGGUUGCAGGCGGGGUAACGGCCCACCUGGCCUACGAUCAGUAGGGGUUCUGAGAGGAAGGUCCCCCACACUGGUACUGAGACACGGACCAGACUCCUACGGGAGGCAGCAGUGAGGAAUAUUGGUCAAUGGGCGCGAGCCUGAACCAGCCAAGUAGCGUGCAGGGAACCGACUGCCCUAUGGGUUGUAAACUGCUUUUAUCAGGGAAUAAAGUGAGGCACGCGUGCCUUUUUGUAUGUACCUGAUGAAUAAGGACCGGCUAAUUCCGUGCCAGCAGCUGC